rnacentral:rRNA from 1 species
GUAGGGAAUAUUGGGCAAUGGAGGCAACUCUGACCCAGCCAUGCCGCGUGCAGGAUGACGGCCCUCUGGGUUGUAAACUGCUUUUAUACGGGAAGAAAAAAUACUACGUGUAGUAUACUGACGGUACCGUAAGAAUAAGGAUCGGCUAACUCCGUGCCAGCAGCCGCGGUAAUACGGAGGAUCCAAGCGUUGUCCGGAGUUAUUGGGUUUAAAGGGUGCGUAGGCGGAUCUUUAAGUCAGUGGUGAAAGCCUGCAGCUUAACUGUAGAAUUGCCAUUGAAACUGAAGAUCUUGAAUGUGGUUAAAGUAGGCGGAAUGUAUCAUGUAGCGGUGAAAUGCUUAGAUAUGAUACAGAACACCGAUAGCGAAGGCAGCUUGCUGAACCAUUAUUGACGCUGAGGCACGAAAGCGUGGGGAGCGAACAGGAUUAGAAACCCCUGUAGUCC